rnacentral:piRNA from 1 species
UAGGAUGUCUAGGUACAGUGGGAUUCGG